rnacentral:rRNA from 1 species
GAUGAACGCUAGCGGCAGGCUUAAUACAUGCAAGUCGAGGGGCAGCAGGACUGUAGCAAUACAGUUGCUGGCGACCGGCAAACGGGUGCGGAACACGUACGCAACCUUCCUUUAAGUGAGGGAUAGCCCAGGGAAACUUGGAUUAAUACCUCGUAAUAUUUGAGAGUGGCAUCACUUUCUAAUUAUAGCUCCGGCGCUUAAAGAUGGGCGUGCGACUGAUUAGGUAGUUGGCGGGGUAACGGCCCACCAAGCCUGCGAUCAGUAACUGGUGUGAGGGCACGACCAGUCACACGGGCACUGAGACACGGGCCCGACUCCUACGGGAGGCAGCAGUAAGGAAUAUUGGUCAAUGGACGCAAGUCUGAACCAGCCAUGCCGCGUGGAGGAUGAAGGUCCUCUGGAUUGUAAACUUCUUUUAUCUGGGAAGAAACCCAUAUUUUCUAGUGUGGUUGACAGUACCAGAUGAAUAAGCACCGGCUAACUCCGUGCCAGCCGCCGCAGUAAAAC